rnacentral:rRNA from 1 species
UACGUAGGCAGCGAGCGUUGUUCGGAGUUACUGGGCGUAAAGGGUGUGUAGGCGGUUUGGUAAGUCUGGUGUGAAAUCUCCCGGCUCAACUGGGAGGGUGCGCCGGAAACUGCCGGACUAGAGUGCGGGAGAGGAGAGUGGAAUUCCUGGUGUAGCGGUGAAAUGCGUAGAUAUCAGGAGGAACACCGGUGGUGUAGACGGCUCUCUGGACCGUAACUGACGCUGAGACACGAAAGCGUGGGUAGCAAACAGG